rnacentral:lncRNA from 10 species
AAGCACGUUACACCAAUCAGUUGCAGCUGUGACAUUGCGCCGAGGCUCUGAAGUGGGUAAUUGCAGACCACAGCUAGGCUGGAAUGCUGUGUUUGGGGUGGUCAUUAGAGUCGUGGUCUCUUUAGCGUUAUGAAGCCUACCUUGACUCCUAGGUGUUCAUUGUGAAUCUUGUUGGUGCUGGUAUCGCUGUACCUCUCAAAUAGCUUCCCCAUUUUGACUAAGAAUGAAGAACUUCUUGGACAAAGAACUUGUAAAAAUCAGAAAUGGUCCAGAGUUUCUGCUCUCCUGGAGAAUCAUUCACCCCAUUACCCUUUUGGCAUUACUGAUCUCAACUCUUGAAACGAAGAAAGAGAGAAUGUGUGAGUGUAUAGGAAAAAUGGCUUCAAGUGACAAAGUAAACGCUUUUGUGACUCAGUUGGACCAGCCUUCUGCCCCAGCGUCUUCU